AAAACAUGGUAUUAGUAAAAAAUGUCUUAGAAAUUAAAUGUUAGUGGUUUCAACAUUCUAUGUUGUAUUCAGUUUUACACCAUCCCAGAUGUUGGUUUCUGGAAGACUUUUGAUCUUCUGUGAACCAAACAGAUUUCUCUCCUCCAGGCUCAAGUGAUACUGCCCUGGAGAUGCUAAUUUUAUGGCCUCCUGUUCUCUGACCACACAGCAGGAGCCCCAUUGAGAGAUCCCUUUUGAUCUGCAUUUGGUUACUGUAGUUUGAAUACUUGCCCAUCAAUAGUUUAGUUUUAAAUCCUUAACACAAACCUGUUCAAAAUUAAGAAAUUUGUUCAAAAUAAGAAUGUUCAAUAUACCUUUUACACAUGCCGUAAG